rnacentral:rRNA from 1 species
CGUAGGUCGCAAGCGUUGUCCGGAUUUACUGGGCGUAAAGAGCGCGCAGGCGGCUGGUCAAGUCCGAUGUGAAAUCUCCCGGCUCAACUGGGAAACUGCAUCGGAAACUGAUCGGCUUGAAGAUGGGAGAGGGUAGUGGAAUUCCCGGUGUAGUGGUGAAAUGCGUAGAUAUCGGGAGGAACACCAGUGGCGAAGGCGACUACCUGGCCCAUUCUUGACGCUGAGGCGCGAAAGCUAGGGGAGCGAACGGGAUUAGAUACCCCGGUAGUCCUAGCCGUAAACGAUGAACACUAGGCGUAGUCGGUAUCGACCCCGGCUGUGCCGUAGCUAACGCAUUAAGUGUUCCGCCUGGGGAGUACGGCCGCAAGGCUA